rnacentral:misc_RNA from 1 species
CGAGAACACGGGGCAGCCGGUGAUGCCUUCGCUUUCCGGCGAGAACGCGUUUCUCAAUUGCGUCGUCAAGCCGAUUUACGAGACGAUCAAAAAGGAGGUAGAGAGCAGCAAGAAUGGAACGGCGCCACAUAGUGCUUGGAGAAAUUAUGAUGAUUUAAACGAGUAUUUUUGGACGAAAAGGUGUUUCGCCAAAUUGAAGUGGCCAAUCGAUGUAGGGAGUAAUUUCUUCGUGAUUUCAAGUGGGCGAAAGCAUGUAGGGAAGACGGGGUUUGUGGAACAGAG